UGGAAGUAUAAAGAAAAAAAAAGAUUGCAACAAUUGCUUUUAGUUCGAGCAGCCAAAAAGAAAUUAAAUAAUACUUUAAGUUUGUGCGCAUUAAGUGAUAGAAAAAUACGGGUAUGGACGAUUCCCAUAUAUACGGAAAAUGAGAGAGAACUGCUUGGAUUUUUCAAUAAUUUAUAUACCCAUAUAAAAAACAAUGACUCCUCUCAGUUCCAAUGCAAGUGGAACAAUUUAAUCUACUUCUAAACUUAAUUAAAACGCGUAUAACAAAACGAUUCCAUAUACGACGCUCAAUACCAGCAGAAUGUCGGCUGGCAAUAACAUUAGUAUAUUUGCAAACUUCGGAAGAAAAACAAAAACAACAAUUUUAUGACUUACAAACAACCGUUAUGUGGACAAAACUAUAAUACUCUUUUAUCAACUUUUGUUGCGAGAGUAUAAAAAAAAAAAACGAUAGUACAACAAUAGCGAAUCCAGGCGGAGGACUCAUAGAAACAGAUUAGAUUGCUUUAAUAUACACCAACAUUGCAAUAAUAACAACGUAAUGGAUGCUUAUGGUAAAAAAAAAUAAACAGAAUUCGGAACAACAAAGCGGAGAUAAAGUAUUACUCCCAUAUAGGAAGGUAGCUAUACUUGGUAUGGGUGCGGGGAAUCCUAAUCUUCAACACAAUACAAUUCAAAUACAAGUUCAACACAAAUUCGAACUAGAAUUCGCCGUAUGAUGGAAGAAGCACUCGUAGUCCUUUGUGUCAGAAAGUAACAAAAAUCGUGCAGCUAGAAUUACAACACGAAAUAUACAACAACAACAGAGCAUGAAUAUUAGUAUUAAUACUUGCGCCAAAUGGCGCACUGCUUGGAAUAGCAGUUUCACUACUUAUUUUCGACAUGCUAAACACAGCUUCUCCUAUGAUUCCUUUGGAUCUACAAUUACACAAUGGAUAGUAUAAAUUUUUAACGUUCGCAAUAGCACUAAAUUUAUUAAUUUAAAUGUAAAUUAUUGUUAAAUUAGCACCUAUACACAUACAAAUGUAUGUACGAAUAUUUGUAACGUAGCAAUCGUAAUAGUAGUGAAAGCUAAAAAUUACAGUUUACUUUGUACUGAAAUGCGAAACUUUAAAUUAAUGAAUCUAUAAUAAUAAUAAACCAUACUAAUUUAUAAAUGUAAAUACCUCAUGCAAUUAAAUAAAUAAAAAUAAAAAACUAUAAACUUCUUUUUUAUUUCUAAACGAAACGAGGUGACUACUAAAAUUUUAGAGAGAAAAAUAAAUAUACGGGCUUAUUUUUACUGGUA